rnacentral:rRNA from 1 species
GAUUCUGGCUCAGGAUGAACGCGACGGGUAGCCGGCCUGAGAGGGCGACCGGCCACAUUGGGACUGAGAUACGGCCCAGACUCCUACGGGAGGCAGCAGUGGGGAAUAUUGCACAAUGGGCGCAAGCCUGAUGCAGCGACGCCGCGUGAGGGAUGGAGGCCUUCGGGUUGUAAACCUCUUUUAUCGGGGAGCAAGCGUGAGUGAGUUUACCCGUUGAAUAAGCACCGGCUAACUACGUGCCAGCAGCCGCGGUAAUACGUAGGGUGCAAGCGUUAUCCGGAAUUAUUGGGCGUAAAGGGCUCGUAGGCGGUUCGUCGCGUCCGGUGUGAAAGUCCAUCGCUUAACGGUGGAUCCGCGCCGGGUACGGGCGGGCUUGAGUGCGGUAGGGGAGACUGGAAUUCCCGGUGUAACGGUGGAAUGUGUAGAUAUCGGGAAGAACACCAAUGGCGAAGGCAGGUCUCUGGGCCGUUACUGACGCUGAGGAGCGAAAGCGUGGGGAGCGAACAGGAUUAGAUACCCUGGUAGUCCACGCCGUAAACGGUGGAUGCUGGAUGUGGGGCCCGUUCCACGGGUUCCGUGUCGGAGCUAACGCGUUAAGCAUCCCGCCUGGGGAGUACGGCCGCAAGGCUAAAACUCAAAGAAAUUGACGGGGGCCCGCACAAGCGGCGGAGCAUGCGGAUUAAUUCGAUGCAACGCGAAGAACCUUACCUGGGCUUGACAUGUUCCCGACGGCCGUAGAGAUACGGCUUCCCUUCGGGGCGGGUU